CGGGGCGUGGCUCAGGUGGCUAGAGCACACGGUUCGGGACCGUGAGGUCGCUGGUUCAAGUCCAGUCGCCCCGA
rnacentral:tRNA from 1 species